UUGAAUUUGAAAUGGGAGGGUUAGGCAGGUAACGGAUGGUUGAGAGAAGCUCUCCAGGGAUGAGCAUGCUAGGAUUGGUAAAGCAAGGAUUAUAGCAUAAACUGCAGGAAAAGAAGUGGAUCCAACACUUUGGGGCAUUCUUGGAUGGUGCCAAUGGGUUCCACAACCUGGUUGAGCUGCCUCUAGGUUGAACCCCCUCUGCACCUC
rnacentral:lncRNA from 1 species